rnacentral:rRNA from 1 species
AUACGUAGGUGGCAAGCGUUAUCCGGAAUUAUUGGGCGUAAAGAGUGAGCAGGCGGUUAAUUAAGUCUGAGGUUAAAGCGUGGGGCUCAACCCCAUAAAGCCUUGGAAACUGAUUGACUAGAGUACGGGAGAAGGGAAGGGAACUCCAUGUGGAGCGGUGAAAUGCGUAGAUAUAUGGAAGAACACCAGUGGCGAAGGCGCUUCACUAGCCCGAAACUGACGCUCAGUCACGAAAGCGUGGGUAGCAAAUAGGAUUAGAUACCCUAGUAGUCCACGCUGUAAACGAUGACAACUAAAUAUUGCCGCGAGGCAGUGUUGAAGCUAACGCAUUAAGUUGUCCGCCUGGGGAGUACGGUCGCAAGACUGAAACUUAAAGGAAUUGGCGGGG